GAAUCUACCUAYUAGUGGGGAUAGCUCGGGAAACUCGAAUUCAAUACCGCAUACGAKCUACGGGAGAAAGGGGGCAACUUGUUGCUCUCGCUAUUAGAUGAGCCUAAGUCGGAUUAGCUAGAUGGUGGGGUAAAGGCCUACCAUGGCGACGAUCUGUAGCUGGUCUGAGAGGAUGAUCAGCCACACCGGGACUGAGACACGGCCCGGACUCUACGGGAGGCAGCAGUGGGGAAUAUUGGACAAUGGGGCAACCCUGAUCCAGCCAUGCCGCGUGUGUGAAGAAGGCCUUUUGGUUGUAAAGCACUUUAAGCAGUGAAGAAGACUCCAUGGUUAAUACCCAUGGACGAUGACAUUAGCUGCAGAAUAAGCACCGGCUAACUCUGUGCCAGCAGCCGCGGUAAUACAGAGGGUGCAAGCGUUAAUCGGAAUUACUGGGCGUAAAGCGAGCGUAGGUGGCUUGAUAAGUCAGAUGUGAAAGCCCCGGGCUUAACCUGGGAACGGCAUCUGAUACUGUUAGGCUAGAGUAGGUGAGAGCAACGUAGAAUUCCAGGUGUAGCGGUGAAAUSCGUAGAGAUCUGGAGGAAUACCGAUGGCGAAGGCAGCCUUCUGGCAUCAUACUGACACUGAGGUUCGAAAGCGUGGGUAGCAAACAGGAUUAGAUACCCUGGUAGUCCACGCCGUAAACGAUGUCUACUAGUCA
rnacentral:rRNA from 1 species